AUGCCAUACUCGUUUAUACACCUUAAACCUUUUUUCCUUCAUUUUGAAAAAAUGUUAUCCCCAGUAUAUCAAUAAUUAUAGACUUCAAAGAAAGAGGCGAAAUACAUAUCAAUGGAAAACAAAUUCUAAUCUUAUUAAGGAAAGAUAAGACUAAAUAGAAAAAUCAAAUGGGUAGCUGUAAUUCACAGAAAUAACCGGAAUCUGUCCUCGAGCCCUGGAUUUUUUAUUUUCACAGUGUAUCGGAUAAUGUUGGGUUUUUGGAUAGCUAACAUUAAAUGGUAAAAGAAUACAACGUUAUGCUUUGUUGCCCACUUAUCGAUAAUAUAUUUAGAAGAAAUAUUAAUAAGCAUUCCUGGGACUGGAGAUAAUGGAGAUAAUAAAGGUGAUAAUGAUCAUACAUGGAAAUUUAAGUCUCAAGUGAAUUAAUGAGGUUCAUGCUCUUUUCCCAGGAGGUUUUCACAUAUAUGUAUACCUGUAUUUAAAGAUGUUUCUUUGCAGCAUUAGUCAACAUGGAUAACCACAAUAUCUAGUACAGCUGUAUCAGUCCUUAAAAUGGGACUUGAAAUGGAUAUCAGCACGUCUUGUUCUCUCUUAUUCUUAUUACUGGUCCUUGUAAAACUUUCCAAAUCUUUAGGGGAUAUCUUUAAAUUAUCUCUCAGUUUACAAUUCAUUACUUUUAUAAAACUUUAAGUAAAUUUCAUUUAUCUAAGCACUGGGGGGAGUUUAAAUGCACAAUAAUUGUUUGCUGUUAAAUCUAGGCGAAGUUUUUGUAGCCAUAUCCUUUUUAAUCAUCCCUUAAGCCUUUCACUUUUUUGAAUAUUUUUUGGAAAUUAAAUUUUUUUUACCCUUUAUAGCUUGUAAAGUAAAAAAAAAUCAAACAGGGCCCCAAAUGUUAUGGUAAUAUAUGUGAGUGAUUUUUUUGCACUAUUCUUUAUGCUCUAUUUUGAUUGUCUUAAUUUCUAACAAGUAAAUUUUUAUUGAUAAGUUAAAGCAAAUUAUUUUUUGUACAAUUAAAUUUUAAUCAUCAGAGAGUUUGGUCCUCUUGAUGUCGAUACACUUAAUUCAGGAACUGUUUAUGAACUAUGAAAAAAAAAGUAGAAAACAAAAAAAUAUAUUUAUAUUUCGUUAUAUGAUAUCAAUGUGUUUAUUCUGUUUAUAAAUAAUAUAAAGGAAUAGGGCGCGAUCAAACUAAAAAUGAAAACUAAUAUAAAGGAAUCACAAUCAUGUUUAAUUAUUAGUGAUGUAAAUCGUGUGUAUUUAUUAGCUGGCCGUUUUGUUGGAAUUUGUAAUCUAAAGAAUGAAUUUUCUU
rnacentral:lncRNA from 1 species